UGUUGCAGCCCAGCGCGAGCUGACCAGCUGCUGCGUAUACAUCUGUGCAGCCACAGCCAUGUUAACAAGGCCAAAACAAAACAAGUGACAAACUCCAACAAAGGGCAGUGUGAGCAGGGAAGGCAGGAGGAUCUCCCCGUUGGUCCUCUACCACCAAAGGAAGCCGAAAAGAAGGACCAAGACGCCCUUGCUAGGAAACUGAGGGUCUCAUCUUUGGAAUGCGUCUCUCUACGUCUGCGAUAUCCCACCCUGGCAGUCCUCCGAACAGAGCCCUCACAGUGCCUGCAGAGAAAACUCCUGGCCCUCGGACAAAUGUAACCGAGGAUCCCUGCCGUGCAUCCUUUCAAAGCGAAGGGAGGAAUCUAAGGCAGCAGUAAAUAUGAAAAAUAAAAAUCUCACAAAGAUUCAGCGCUGGAAAAGGCUUUCACAGAAUCCUGCCGCUGCCUGUCGAGACUCUAUUUCAUCUAUAGAACUGGGAUUAUAUCUCAAAGGCCAGCCUCUGUUCGAACAAAAGCAGCUGAUGAUGGCAAAUUAGGCUUUUUUUUGUUGUGAGGAAAGAAAAAGCUCCAACAUCUAACUUGGUGGUCUCUGAUUAUCCAUAAAUAUAUAUUCACACGCAGCUGGAAAUGCGGCACAACAAACCACAGGAGGCUAGCAAGAUGUGCAUUUUGUUCAACUGGGCUUGUUAAGUCAGUCGAGAGCCUCGGAGUAGACAUGUUACACUUUGGUCAAGGACACAUCUCAGUGGUUCGUUGACACUCUUUAUUGUGCCAAGAGGCAAUGGGAAAUCAAUGGGCCUGACCUGUCCAAUGUAAUGUACCUAUAAGCUCACUGAGGUCACUGUCAGGAAAGAUCCGCCUCAGCAGAGUACACAGAAAACUUUGAAAGGUCCUCGGGGACAUUUCCAACUAAAUGGAGCAAUAUGUCACAUCAAUAUUGCACCCCGUGCGUGGCAUCCGCUUUUCGACACAGCAAACACAUCAGAGAACGUGCAGAGGAAAAGUUCUUUGCGAGAGCUGAGUGUGCACAAGUAGACGGAGAUACAGAUCAGACGUGUGGACCCCGAGCGGCUUUAUCUGCUCCGUCUUGCAGCUCAGCGGGGGCCUCGCUCGCUCCGAGCCGCUGCACAGUUGGCUGAGCUAUUGAUCUCAUUGUUGCUAAAGACACUUCAUGUACCCUGAAAGACUGCAGCACAAAGCGGUGACAUUGAUAGGGCCACACGGAGGUGGGCCUUUUUGUUCUGCCUGUGUGUGGGAGUUGGACUUAGGAUGGGGGUGGGCGCUGAGCCUCGAGCUGACCCACGCGGGACAACGUGUAAACUUUGGAUUGUGGUGACGCUAAAAUGUCAGGCUGUCGUACUUGUUUUGUUUUUUUUGUGCGGGCUCAUUUAAAAGUCAUGCACACUGGAACAAUGACUAAUACAUUUUUUCAACUAGUAUCAUACUAGUAGUAUAAUGUAAUAUAUUAUUAGUAUUUUUGGAUAAUAUGUACAGCGUUGUAUCCUUUCAUAUGAGUAGAGUUAAUAAAUGGGUUAGAAAUGUGUUAAUGCCAAUGGAACCACUAUCAUCACAUACUCCUGAGUAGUCCAAAAUGUGGAAUUCAACCAAUAGUUUAGGUUAAAAAACGCCUUUAAAUUUACACACAACUUUGGAGUUUGAACACCCCCAAAUGAAAGGAUUAAUCCUGUUUAUGCAUGAUGCUUUUUCUUUGGCUUUUUGUGGCUUUAAAAAAAAAAUACUUAUUCUAAAAAAGGGCCUCCAUCAUGGACGACGUCACACAAUGUUCCCGCUAAUUUUUCAAGUGUCUGAGCGCCACCAGACGGGCACACUUGUAGUAUCACACCAAAAAUCUGUCAAAACCUGAGAACCUAAGGAAGUCCAAGUUCCAGUGUGUGCUGUUUUGUAUGUGUGAGUUCAAAAUGUCAGCAAGGAGUAUUUCACAAUGUAGCUUUCUUUACUGGCAACCUCAGACAAAACAAGCAGUAGAACUAUCUCAUCCCACACAACCAGCCGCAUCCCUCGGGCAAACUCGGCGUAACACUUCCUGUCAUUCGGCCAUCAAGUCCGGCCAUCAAAAUAAAAGCAUGCCCCAGUACCACAUCCCUGCUACCCAUUUUUGGUUCCCAAAACGUUAAGAAAACUUUGCAUUUUUUUUGGUUUGGUUUUGAGCAUCGGUUGGUUGCCCCUUGGCUGCAGUGGAAAGUUUUCGUUACGCUUUUUGAACGUUGCCUGGUGGUUACAAUGUUCCCAAAGAAAAGUGUCUCAGAGCACCCCUUUCUCAUUGGAAAAAGAAAAAAAUCUCACCCAUAUUCAACUCUUGUUCUUCUUUUGUGGCUUUUUCCGACACGUACUGUAUUUCAAAAGAUGAACCAGCCUCAACAAGGACAUGAAGUCCACCAGACGUUCGGGGCCUCAUUCAAGGCAUUCAAGAGUUGAGGGAGUGUUUUUGUUUUUGGAACUGCAUUUUGAAGAUGUUAAGAACAAUUAACUAUGUGCUGCAUGAGCCAAUGUUACAUUUUUUUGUCAUUUAAGUUAAGAGUUGAGUCUGUUAUUGU